GUAGUUUAGCUAUUUACUCCUUGGUCAAUGUUGUUUUGUUCCUCUGAAAGUGGUUCUAAUUGCUAGUUGCUUGUGAAUGCAGGUACUAUUGCAAAAGGUGCUGCUUUAUUACAUCAGGAGGGAGCCAGGGAAGUCUAUGCUUGCAGCACACAUGCUGUCUUUAGCCCUCCUGCAAUCGAGAGACUAUCUAGUGGCCCAUUUCAAGAAAUCAUCACAAACACCAUCCCUGUGUUGGAGCAGAAUUAUUUCCCUCAGCUUACGGUUCUGUCGGUAGCAAACCUAUUGGGCGAGACCAUUUGGCGUGUUCAUGAUUACUGCUCUGUGAGUAGCAUUUUUAAGUGAUAUGAUUAUUAAUGCAAUCAGGUCAUUUGCUCAAUUCACAUGGGUUGUAAUCUUUUGUAGCUCCCUUCUUUUCUGUUUUCGGAAACUUCUAUUCUUUCUUCCAUGCAAUUUCUAUUUUUUAUUUUAUCCCUCCUCAGUCUUAGUUACCUAACACCUGAAACCACUCCUCCUUGAUUGUUCCCCCUGUUAUGGAAUCUGGCUCGCUAAAAAUAGCAGUGUUUCAAUCCGCCUAGUGAUGUCCUGUUUCUUCACUUGCUCUCCUUCCAAUUUUUGUAUAUGUUGGCUUCUUCCACAACCAACUAGAUUGGUUCCUUUUGCCAGAGGGUGGGAUGUGUUUGUUUUAAUUGGUGUGUGGGAUUUUCUGUACAUUAAUUAAUAAAAUCCAUGGCACUGAGAGUAAGCUUCA